rnacentral:lncRNA from 1 species
UACUAAUCUUUCUUAUUCAUAUCCAUUUCAGAGUUCUUACAAAGAUGUAUAGGUAUACAAUAUUUAUUAUUUUUGUCUUUUUGUGUAUUUUUGUCAAUGAGAUAAAAACCACAGAACAAAUCAAUCAGAAGUAUUAAUAACUGGUGUAAUUUGAGACAGAACACCCUGGAACACAAGAAAUAUCCUACCUCACAAAAUUUAACACACCAGACAUCUUAAUUUUCACCUUUUUUCAAUGAAGCAGCAC